rnacentral:rRNA from 1 species
GCAAGGCGAACGCAGUAGCAAUACUGAGUGGCAGACGGGUGAGUAACAUGUGGGAAUCUGCCUUGUGGUUCAGGACAACAUUGGGAAACCGAUGCUAAUACUGGAUAAGCCCUUACGGGGAAAGUUUUAAUGCCAUAAGAUGAGCCCGCAUUUGAUUAGUUAGUUGGUGAGGUAAUGGCUCACCAAGACAAUGAUCAAUAGCUGAUCUGAGAGGAUGAUCAGCCACACUGGGACUGAGACACGGCCCAGACUCCUACGGGAGGCAGCAGUGGGGAAUCUUGCACAAUGGAGGAAACUCUGAUGCAGCGAUGCCGCGUGAGUGAAGAAGGCCUUUGGGUUGUAAAGCUCUUUUGUAGGGGAAGAUAAUGACUGUACCCUAAGAAUAAGGUCCGGCUAACUUCGUGCCAGCAGCCGCGGUAAUACGAAGGGACCUAGCGUAGUUCGGAAUUACUGGGCGUAAAGCGCGCGUAGGCCGUUGAGUUAGUUAAUUGUGAAAUCCCAAAGCUUAACUUUGGAACUGCAAUUAAAACUGCUCGACUAGAGUUUGAUAGAGGAAAGCGGAAUACAUAGUGUAGAGGUGAAAUUCAUAGAUAUUAUGUAGAACACCAGUUGCGAAGGCGGCUUUCUGGAUCAACACUGACGCUGAGGCGCGAAAGUAUGGGUAGCAAAGAGGAUUAGAUACCCUCGUAGUCCAUACCAUAAACGAUGAUUGCUAGAUGUUGGAAAUUUAUUUUCAGUAUCGCAGCUAACGCAUUAAGCAAUCCGCCUGGGGAGUACGACCGCAAGGUUAAAACUCAAAUGAAUUGACGGGGACCCGCACAAGCGGUGGAGCAUGUGGUUUAAUUCGAAGAUACGCGCAGAACCUUACCAACCCUUGACAUGUCUGUCGCGAGUUUAGGAAACUAGACUUUUCGGUUCGGUCGGACAGAACACAGGUGCUGCAUGGCUGUCGUCAGCUCGUGUCGU